rnacentral:rRNA from 1 species
UACGUAGGGGGCAAGCGUUGUCCGGAUUUAUUGGGCGUAAAGAGCGUGUAGGCGGCCUGGUAGGUCAGCUGUGAAAACUCGAGGCUCAACCUCGAGACGCCGGUUGAAACCAUCAGGCUAGAGUCCGGAAGAGGAGAGUGGAAUUCCCGGUGUAGCGGUGAAAUGCGCAGAUAUCAGGAGGAACACCGAUAGCGAAGGCAGCUCGCUGGGACGGUACUGACGCUGAGGUGCGAAAGCGUGGGGAGCGAACAGG